rnacentral:rRNA from 1 species
AUUGAACGCUGGCGGCAUGCCUUACACAUGCAAGUCGAACGGUAACAGGUCUUCGGAUGCUGACGAGUGGCGAACGGGUGAGUAAUACAUCGGAACGUGCCGAGCGUGGGGGAUAACGAGGCGAAAGCUUUGCUAAUACCGCAUACGAUCUCAGGAUGAAAGCAGGGGACCGCAAGGCCUUGCGCUCACGGAGCGGCCGAUGGCAGAUUAGGUAGUAGGUGGAAUAAAAGCUGACCAAGCCGACGAUCUGUAGCUUGUCUGAGAGGACGAGCAGCCACACUGGGACUGAGAACCGGCCCAGACUCCUACGGGAGGCAGCAGUGGGGAAUUUUGUACAAUGGGCGCAAGGCUGAUCCAGCCAUGCCGCGUGCAGGAUGAAGGCAUUCGGGUUGUAAACUGCUUUUGUACGGAACGAAAAGACUCUGGUUAAUACCUGGGGUCCAUGACGGUACCGUAAGAAUAAGCACCGGCUAACUACGUGCCAGCAGCCGCAGUAAGAC